rnacentral:rRNA from 1 species
UACGAAGGGGGCUAGCGUUGCUCGGAAUUACUGGGCGUAAAGGGCGCGUAGGCGGCCAUUUAAGUUAGAGGUGAAAGCCCAGGGCUCAACCCUGGAAUAGCCUUUAAUACUGGAUGUCUUGAGUUCGGGAGAGGUGAGUGGAAUGCCGAGUGUAGAGGUGAAAUUCGUAGAUAUUCGGCGGAACACCAGUGGCGAAGGCGACUCACUGGCCCGAUACUGACGCUGAGGCGCGAAAGCGUGGGGAGCAAACAGG